rnacentral:RNase_P_RNA from 1 species
AUCGCAGACCGCCUUAUCGCUUUCAGUAAUGAAAGAGGAAAGUCCGGACACCACAGAGUAGCAUAACGGGUAACGCCCGUCGCUCGUUGAAAGACGAGAAGGACCAGUGCAACAGAAAGGAUGUACAGUUCGGCUGUAGUGAAAUCAGGUAAACUCUAUGCGGUGAAAUGCCAUGUAUAUCAACGUUCCGCUUUGGCGGAUAAGGGCUACUCGUUCGAUGUUGAAGGGUAGGCAGCUCGAUUCAAUAGGUAACUGUUGAACUAGAUAAAUGAUAAGGGUUCGCUACGGCGAAUACAGAAUCCGGCUUAUAGGUCUGCUUUUUUU